rnacentral:lncRNA from 1 species
CCUAAAUGUGAGACAAUUGUGAAAAGUGGAGGACAGAGCCACCUGGUUAAAUACAGCCCCAGCUUUCUGGUGAGAGGACUGAAACCAAGAUGUGUCAAGUAACUAGAAUGUGCCUGGACAGAUACUGUAGAAAGCAAAACCAUAAAGUUGUUCAUGAGCUUGUGGACGCACCUGCCAGCUGUGAAUAAGUGGCUCUAAUCCCGAACAACUUACCUAAAAAGAGCCUGAGAGCUGAACUGUGCAAUGGCCCACUUUCCAGUCCUCACUGACCACUGGGUUGCACACACUUUGGAGAUCUCUGAACAGCAGUGUCAAGGCUUUCAAAUAGAGUUAUCUUUGAAACGACAACACAUGAAAGUCUGGUUGGUACUUGGAGCUUAAAUACAAGGCAAUUGUGUGCCUGCAAAAACAAAAAUAGCAAUAUUAUCCUUAAGAUUUCAACAAGACACAGUGUCUCAUCACAUAAUCCAAAGAAGUCCAGGUUACAAGCCCCACAAUAUUCAGCAUUAUGAAAAAACAGGGAGAUCUUAAUUCACAUGGCAAAGAGAAUCCUCGAAUAACAAUAUUGAGAGGACACAGAUGUCAAAAUCAUCUGACACAUACAUUAAAGCAGAUAUUAUAACAAUGCUCCUAGAAUCGGGGAUAACAUUCGUGAAGUGAAUGGAAAGUUGGAAAGUCUCACCAAAUAUUUCGAAUACAUAAACACCAAUUUAAACUUAAGAAUUAAAAAAAUGUAUUAACCAAAACUCUUAGGGGAAAUAAAAAGCUUAAUUGGAGGAUCUCCAUAAUCGAAUGCAGAAGACUAAGGAAAAAGUCAAUGAACUUGAAAACAGAACACGAAUACCUACAUAAUCUGAACUAUAGAGAGAAAGGAGGAUUUUAUUGUCUCUGAACAGAGGCUCAGGCACAAAUAAAAAAUAACAAAUCCAACAUUCACAUUAUUGUAAUCUGGAAAGAAGAGGACAAAGUGGUCUUUGUGGGAUAAAACUUUGAACAAUUAAUAGCUGAAAAUGGUUCAAAUUUGUCAAAAGAUAUAAACCAGAUUUUUAAAGUUCAGUAAAUGUCAAUCAGGAUAAACCCAAAGAAACCCAUAGCAAGGCAUAUCAUAAUCAAACUGCUGAAAACUAAGAAAAUACAAAACAAUUUUGAAAGCAGCCAAAGGGAAAUGAAAGAGAAACUACCAAAUGAAUGAUUGUAGAUUUCGCAUCAGGAACCAUAGGGGCCAGAAAAAAUGUCAUAACAUUCGGUAAGUAACAAAAGAAAAAGACAUAUCGACCCAGAAUGCUAUGUGGAGCAAAAGUAUCUUCCAGACAUAAAGGCAAAUAAAUGCAUUCUCAGUGGAAGGUAAGUAAAUACAUUCUCAUUCUUAGGAAGACUGCUGGAAAAGAAUUAGCAAAGAUUUGAGAUAAGAAAAAUGAUACCAGAAGGAAACUUAGAACAUCAUCAGUGAAGGAACAAAAGCAGAAAUAGAACAUGUCUGGGUAGACAUAACAGACUAUUAUUCUUCCCUUGAGUUCCUUAAGGAGACUACGGAAAAGAAGAGUGACUAAGAUCUCUGAAGAAGGGAAAAGCUAGAUGACUGGGCCACAAGAGAAAAAAAGCAGCAAGACAGAGAUUUGUUGGUGCCAACUAAAUGAGCCCAACAGCCAGUGACAACAGAACUGCACUAAAAAAAGUCCCUCAUCAGCUCUUGAGAGCAGGUUCCUUAAAGCUUGAAUGUGAGGCAACUGUGAAAAGUGCAGGGCAGAGCCACCUGGGUAAAUACAGCCCUGGCUUUCUGGUGAGAGGACUGAAACCAGGAUGUGUCAAGUAACUAGAAUGUGCCUGGACAGAUACUGUAGAAAGCAAACCCAUAAAGUUGUUCAUGAGCUUGUGGACGCACCUGCCAGCUGUGAAUAAGUGGGUCUAAUCCCAAACAACUUACCUAAAAAGAGCCUGAGGACUGAACUAAACAAUGGUCCGCUUUCCAGUCCUCACUGACCACUGGUUGCACACACUCCAGAGAUCUCUCAUCCGCAGUGUCAAGGCUUUCAAAUAGAGUUAUCUGUGAAACAACAACACAUGGAAGUCUGGUUGGUACUUGGAGCUUAAAUACAAGGCAAUUGUGUGCCUGCAAAAACAAAAAGAGCAAUAUUAUCCUUAAGAUUUCAACAAGACACAGUGUCUCAUCACAUAAUCCAAAGAAGUCCAGGUUACAAGCCCCAAAAUAUUCAGCAUUAUGAAAAACCAGGGAGAUCUUAAUUCACAUGGCAAAGAGAAUCCUUGCAUAACAAUAUUGAGAGGACACAUAUGUCAAAAUCAUCUGACACAUACAUUAAAGCAGUUAUUAUAACAAUGCUCCUAGAAUUACGGGAUAGCAUUCAUGAAGUGAAUGGAAAGUUGGAAAGUCUCACCAAAUAUUUGGAAUAUGUAAACACCAAUUUAAACUUAAGAAUUAAAAAAAGUAUUAACCAAAACUAUUAGGGGAAAUAAAAAGCUUAAUUGGAUGAUCUCAAUAGCAGUAUGCAGAAGACUAAGGAAAAAGUCAAUGAACUUGAAAACGGAACAAGAAUACCUACAGAAUCUGACCUAUAGAAAGAAAGGAGGAUUUUAUUGUCCCUGAACAGAGGCUCAGGGACAAAUAAAAAAUAACAAAUCUAACAUUCACAUUAUUGUAAUCUGGAAACAUUCACAUUAUUGUAAGAGGACAAAGAGGUCUUUGUGGGAUAAAACUGUGAAGAAUUAAUGGCUGAAAAUGUAUCAAAUUUCUCAAAAGAUAUAAACCAGAUUUUUAAAGUUCAGUAAAUGUCAAGCAGGAUAAACCAAAAGAAACCCAUUGCAAGACAUAUCAUAAUCAAACUGCGGAAAAUUAAGAAAACACAAAACAAUUUUGAAAGCAGCCAAAGGGAAAUGAAAGAUAAAAUACCAAAUGAAUGAUUGUAGAUUUCUCAUCGGGAACCCAGGAGCCAGAAAAAAAUGUCAUAACAUUCAGUAAAUACCAAAGGAAAAAUACAUUAUCAACCCAGAAUGGUAUGUGGAGCAAAAGUAUCUUCCAGACAUAAAGGCAAAUAAAUGCAUUCUCAUUGGAAGGUAAAUAAAUACAUUCUCAGUCCUAGCAAAACUGCUGGAAAAGAAUUAGCAAAGGUUUGAGAUAAGAAAAGUGAUACCAGAAGGAAACUUAGAACAUCAUCAAUGAAGGAACAAAAGCAGAAAUAGAAAAUGUCUGGGUAGACAUAACAGACUAUUAUUCUUCUCUUGAGUUCCUUAAGGUAUGUUUGAUGGUUGAAAGCAAAAAUUGUAACUUUAUCUGAUGCAGUUGUCAUUGUAUCUAGAUGUACUACAUACAUAAGAUAAAAGGGUAAAUGUAAUGGGACUAACUCUUGAUGAAGUUUCUAUAUUCAACUUGAAUGGUAAAAUAUUGAUUCUUAGUAUACUGUGAAAAGUUAUAUAUGUAUAUGGUAAUCCCUAGACCACUUAACAACCAGAUUGAAAUAAACCAAAACAAGAUAGACAGAGGAACAUAGAAGAAUUAAAACAAAGGGAAAAAAGGUUAAUAAAUUAUUAAAUAGUAGAUCUAUCUAAAAACUUAUCUAUAAUAACAUUAUAUGUAAAUUAUCUAAAUGCAUUAAGUAAAAACUAGAGAUCAUCAGAAUGUGUUAAAAAUAAAUAUGCUGACUAAAGAAAGCCACCUGCAAUACACUUAUAAAUAAGAAUAAAAGUUAUAGAGCAGAUUGAAAGAAAAGAGUGGGAAAAGAUACCUCAUGCAAGCAUUAAUCAAAGACAGCUGUGGUGUAUAUAUAUAAAAUCAGACAAAGUAGAUUUGAAAGCAGAGAAACUUUUCAGGAAUAAUGAGGCCUCCUAAAUAAUUAUGAUUGUCAAUUUUUCAGGAGAAUAUUGUCCCAAAUGUAUAUGAGGACACAGAGCUUCAAAACUCAUAAACAAAAUUGGAUACGCCAAGUAAAAAUAGAAAAAUCCAGUUAUAGUUGCAGUCAUUAACACUCCUCUCUGAGUAAUUGGAAGAUUUAGUGGAACACAAAUCAACAGACAUACUGGAGAAUUGAACCAUGCCAUCCAGUAAUGGACCUAUCAAUUUCAUAAUGCAAAAUAAAAAUUCAGGUAGAAAGCAAAGACAAAAAUUAAAAGAAAAGCAAGAUCAUGUUAUAAUGAGAAAAUUAAGAGUAGUCCAGUGUAUAGAAGGGUGCUAUUAUUGAAAGAGUUUGAAAUAGUGACUUAGUUAUUUUGAAACAUUUUUGAAGACGUUAUUUAGCUGGAAAUGACAGAAAGACUGAAAAUGGUGAAUGUGGAGGUGGAUCUUCCCUUGUCCAUAUUUAUCUUGUCUUCGUUUGAGGUCUGGGGUGUCUAUACUUCCUCUGAAUUACCUGAUCUUACUACAGUGUCUGGCACAGAGCAUCUCCCCAGUGAAUAUGUACUAAAUGAGUAGAAAGUAAUUGAUAGAUUCAAAAGAGUUGUGCAAGAAUAAUGUUCAUUAUUUGACUAAUCACUGAAUGUGGUGUUUCAAGGAAGACAAUGAAUCAAAGUUGACUUGAAAGGUAAGCCCAGGGCCAGACGUGGUGGCUCAUUUCUGUAAUCCCAGCACUUUGGGAGGCCGAGAUCAGUGGAUCCCUUGACACCAGGAG